rnacentral:piRNA from 1 species
UCAGACUCCAGGGACUGUUGGUCACCA